rnacentral:sRNA from 1 species
UAUAUAUAAAAAAAAGGAAGAAGAGGAAAACAGUCCUUUGAGCUUUUGUAACGCGUUUUCUCUUGUUUUUAAGGAACAAUUAAGGGCUUGAUUGGUUUUCCCUCUGCCAUCCGCAAACGCUGCAUUUGCGGGUGGUAGCGGUUGUUAGCGAUUGGCACCAAUCAUACAAACUGCUAGAUACCGCUUUGGACCGUUCGAAAUCGCCAGAUUUCAAAAUCUCCUUCCCACAAACGUUUGUGGGCGGUAGCGGUUAGAUUUUUUUUUUUUU